UACGAAGGGGGCUAGCGUUGUUCGGAAUUACUGGGCGUAAAGCGUGCGUAGGCGGGUUGCUAAGUCAGGUGUGAAAUCCCGGGGCUCAACCUCGGAACUGCAUUUGAUACUGGCGGCCUAGAGACCGGGAGAGGUGAGCGGAAUACCGAGUGUAGAGGUGAAAUUCGUAGAUAUUCGGUGGAACACCAGUGGCGAAGGCGGCUCACUGGACCGGUACUGACGCUGAGGAACGAAAGCGUGGGGAGCAAACAGG
rnacentral:rRNA from 1 species